AUGCAGCCGAGGACGCUUCCGCGCGGCCGCGCCGCCAUCCUGCGCGCGGUCACGGGAUGCCGCGGCCGCCGGGAAGAGCAGGCCCUCCACUGCCUCGUCUGCAAGCUGGGACUCGCCUCCGACGUCGUGCUUGCGACCGCCUUGCUCGUCCGCUACGGCAGGCGCGGCCUCCUGGCUCCCGCCCAGCGGCUGUUCGACGAAAUGCCGCGCAGGGACGCGGUCGCCUUCAACGCCAUGCUGGCCGCGCUCGGCGCCUCGGGGAGGGCGGCCGACGCGCGGAGGCUGUUCGACCGAAUGCCGGGGCCGGACAGGACCCCCGCGUCGUGGAACACCCUGCUCACGUGCUACUGCAGGGUCGGCGACCUCGCCUCCGCCAGGGCCGUCUUCGAGGCGAGCCUGCGCGCGGCGACGAGCAGCGCCGUCUCGUGGAACGCGAUGGUCGACGGGUACUGCAAGGCCGGGCGGAUGGACGCCGCCCGGGAGCUGUUCGACCGUAUGGGCUCCUCGCUGCGGGACGUCGUCACGUAUAACACGAUGAUGGCCGGGUAUCUGCGCCGGGGAGACCCCGCCGCGGCCAUCGCGAUGUUCCGCCGGCUGACGCAGGAUGAGGGGCAGGCGCCGAGGCCCACCGCGGUCACCAUUGCCACCGUGGUGACUGCUUGCACGCAGGUGGGGGACUUCGGCUUUGGCCGGGCGGUCCAUCUCUCCACCCGGCAGCUGCUGGGGACAAGCACCGACGCGGUGCUGAGCAACGCCCUCAUGGACAUGUACUUCAAGUGCGGGAGCGUGGACCGCGCGCUCGAGGUCUUCAGCGCCAUGCCGUCCGGCGCGCCCAACCUCUUCUGCUGGAACACGGUGAUCGCGGGGCUAGGCAGGAACGGCCGCGGCGAGGAUGCCGUCAGGGCGUUCCGCGACAUGGUGGAGACGAGCAAUAAGAACAACGAGGUCAGGCCGGACUCGGUGACGUUCGUGGCGCUCCUGUCGGCGUGCAGCCACUCCGGUCUGGUGCGCGAGGGCCGUGAGCUCUUCGCGGAGAUGCUGCCGGCCCACGGGGUGGCUCCCGGGGCGGAGCACUACGGCUGCAUGGUGGACCUGCUGUGCCGCGCGGGGCUGCUCGGCGAGGCCGUGCGGCUCGUGCGGACGAUGCCCGUCCGGCCCAACGCCAAGGUCCUGGGGUGCCUGCUGCUCCAUGCGCGCAGCUCGGGGGACGGCGUGACGGCGAGCGAGUGGGCGGCGAGGCGGAUCGCGGAGCUGGACGGCCGCGACGGCGCCGCGUACGGGCUGUCCAACCUGUACGCGUCGCUGCAGAGGUGGGAUCACGUCGAGAGGCACCGGAGCGGGCUGGUGACCGUGGCCGCGGCGAGCGGCAAGGAGCCUGGCCGGACUAGCUACGAUCCGCAUGUACGCUAG
rnacentral:rRNA from 1 species